rnacentral:rRNA from 1 species
GCGAACCUUCGGGUUAGCGGCGGACGGGUGAGUAACGCGUGGGAACGUGCCCUCUUCUGCGGGAUAGCCACUGGAAACGGUGAGUAAUACCGCAUACGCCCUUCGGGGGAAAGAUUUAUCGGAGGAGGAUCGGCCCGCGUUGGAUUAGGUAGUUGGUGGGGUAAUGGCCUACCAAGCCUACGAUCCAUAGCUGGUUUUAGAGGAUGAUCAGCCACACUGGGACUGAGACACGGCCCAGACUCCUACGGGAGGCAGCAGUGGGGAAUCUUAGACAAUGGGCGCAAGCCUGAUCUAGCCAUGCCGCGUGAGUGACGAAGGCCUUAGGGUCGUAAAGCUCUUUCGCCAGAGAUGAUAAUGACAGUAUCUGGUAAAGAAACCCCGGCUAACUCCGUGCCAGCAGCCGCGGUAAUACGGAGGGGGUUAGCGUUGUUCGGAAUUACUGGGCGUAAAGCGCACGUAGGCGGAUUGGAAAGUUGGGGGUGAAAUCCCAGGGCUCAACCCUGGAACUGCCUCCAAAACUCCCAGUCUGGAGUUCGAGAGAGGUGAGUGGAAUUCCGAGUGUAGAGGUGAAAUUCGUAGAUAUUCGGAGGAACACCAGUGGCGAAGGCGGCUCACUGGCUCGAUACUGACGCUGAGGUGCGAAAGUGUGGGGAGCAAACAGGAUUAGAUACCCUGGUAGUCCACACCGUAAACGAUGAAUGCCAGUCGUCGGCAAGCAUGCUUGUCGGUGACACACCUAACGGAUUAAGCAUUCCGCCUGGGGAGUACGGUCGCAAGAUUAAAACUCAAAGGAAUUGACG